rnacentral:rRNA from 2 species
GGCGCCUUGCGCGCACCGGCGGACGGCUCAGUAACACGUCGGUAACCUACCCUCGGGAGGGGGAUAACCCCGGGAAACUGGGGCUAAUCCCCCAUAGGCCUGAGGUACUGGAAGGUCCUCAGGCCGAAAGGGGCUUCGGCCCGCCCGAGGAUGGGCCGGCGGCCGAUUAGGUAGUUGGUGGGGUAACGGCCCACCAAGCCGAAGAUCGGUACGGGCCAUGAGAGUGGGAGCCCGGAGAUGGACACUGAGACACGGGUCCAGGCCCUACGGGGCGCAGCAGGCGCGAAACCUCCGCAAUGCGGGAAACCGCGACGGGGGGACCCCCAGUGCCGUGGCAUCGCCACGGCUUUUCCGGAGUGUAAAGAGCUCCGGGAAUAAGGGCUGGGCAAGGCCGGUGGCAGCCGCCGCGGUAAUACCGGCGGCCCGAGUGGUGGCCGCUAUUAUUGGGCCUAAAGC